ensembl:lncRNA
CACUCCUCCUCCCCCCGUAGCCCUAAGCACCACCCGCGCCCCUCCCAACCCCACCCCCGCCCUUCUGAGUUGAAGUUCCCUCCUUCCACCCGUGUCCUCACCCCCCCGCAGCAUGUGGACUCCCUCCCACACCUGCGACGCGUCUCCCCCAGCCAGUGCCAGGUCCAGACCUCCUCCUCUUUCCGUAUCGGGGGCCCCUGCACCCCCCAGGAACCCCCUGCCGCCAUGCUGCCCCAGCCAGAGGAGAGUACCUCGGAGACGGGCUCCAGCGAGACGCAGUUCAGCCUGGAGCUGGAGGAGCAGGAGGGUUUUAGGGGGAGGCCGGCCCGUGUUUCCCCAGCCCAGGAGAGGCCGUUCUGGGGGUGGCAGCAGCUCUGGAGCCCCCUCCGAGGGCUCCUUUGAGAGCGAGACCCUGUCGCUGUCGGCCGCUUACUGCGGAGGAGGGGAGGGAGGGGGAGGAGGAGGAGGAGGAGGGAAUCGUUGCAGCCUGAUGGAGGUGUCAUUGUCAUCCCUGGGAGGGCCAGAGGGGGGCAGUGAUUGAGCCAACUGACACAGAAGGGACAGGAGUUCUUCUCUGACUCCAUGAGCGACCACACAGAACCUCCAACAGGAGAAACGUUGGAACCGACUGAACCCACGUGAGAACCGAGAGAAUCUACGGGGGAUCAAAUAGAACAGACACAGAACACAGAACUCCGAGAACCCUCAGUGGAACCCACAGAGCAGACGGAACUGGAGGCGAGAGGAGGGGUUGGAUUCUUCUUCAAGGAGGAGGUGCGUUGUGAAGAUGAGAUGGCUCAGAGGAGAGCUGCUCUGUUGGGGAGACAGCAGAAAAGAGCAGAGGACCUGAAGAGGAGGAGACAGUGGAAUGAACAGGAGAGAGAGAGCAGACCCCCCCUCUGAGGAGGAGGAGCGAAGAGGCUUUCUUCCACAGACCCCUCCCCUGUCCUGCACCCCUCCCCCCGCCGCCGGUGUCCCCUCCCUCACCCCCCCGACCACGCCCAGUCGCCGUGGUGAUUUCACGCGGAAGGAGUACGCCCACCGCCAGCAGAUACGCAUCAUGUCUGACCUGGAUAACGUGCUGCGUCAGAAACACACCAAUCAGGGACGAGUCGCCGCCAAGAAGUCCCGCCCCCGACCUCGGAGCAUGACCCGGGAGGAGUCACAGCUGUCCCGCAGCCCAGCCAAGAGCACUAUGGGUAAUGGAAUUGUAACGAUAGGGUGUCUGUUUGUAUGUGUUAGCCAGAAGCUCUACUGCUCCCCUUUACAGUGUCUGGGAGGGGGGACGGGGGGACGGAGGUGCAGGCUUUUGUUCCAGCCCAGCACUCUGAUGCUCUCGUCUUCUGCUGCUUUACUCUGCAUAAUGACAAGUUAUCAACAUACUGUACAUCUUCUCUCUCUUUUUCUCUCUCUCCCUCCUCCUCUCUCUCCCUUCUUCUCUCUCUCUUCUUCUCUCUCUCCCUUCUUCUCUCCCUCCUCUCCCUCCCUCCUCUCUCCAUUCUUAUCUCUCUCUUCUUCUCUCUCUCCCUUCUUCUCUCUCUCCCUCCUCUCUCUCCCUCCGCUCUCCCUUCUUCUCUCCCUCCUCUCCCUUCUUAUCUCUCUCUUCUUCUCUCUCUCCCUUCUUCUCUCUCUCCCUCCUCUCUCUCCCUCCUCUCUCCCUUCUUAUCUCUCUCUUCUUCUCUCUCUCUCUCUCUCCCUCCUCUCCCUCCUCUCUCUCCCUCCUCUCUCCCUUCUUUUCUCUCUCUUCUCUCUCUCUCUCCCUUCUUUUCUCUCUCUUCUCUCUCUCCCUUCUCUCCCUCCUCUCUCCCUUCCUAUCUCUCUCUUCCUCCCUCUCUCCUACCUCUCCCUCCUUAUCUCUCUCUUCUUAUCUCUCUCUUCUUAUCUCGCUCUUCUUCUCUCUCUCCCCCCUCUCUCUGUCCUCUCUCUCCCUCCUUCUCUCUCCAGGUUCUAA